UUAUAUAUGAAUGAUAUUGGUCAUUAAAAGGAAGAUGGAUGAGAUUUCCACACAGUACCGCUACUGUAAUUAGGGAGUAUUGAUUAAUUUAUGUCACUGAGUUUUUGACUUGGGAAGGCUUAAUUAAUAUUAUGAUCUAUAAGUCAGGAUACUUACCAAUAUUAAAGAUAUCGA
rnacentral:ncRNA from 1 species